CGAAUGCUGACAUAAGUAACGAUAAAGCGGGUGAAAAGCCCGCUCGCCGGAAGACCAAGGGUUCCUGUCCAACGUUAAUCGGGGCAGGGUGAGUCGACCCCUAAGGCGAGGCCGAAAGGCGUAGUCGAUGGGAAACAGGUUAAUAUUCCUGUACUUGGUGUUACUGCGAAGGGGGGACGGAGAAGGCUAUGUUGGCCGGGCGACGGUUGUCCCGGUUUAAGCGUGUAGGCUGGUUUUCCAGGCAAAUCCGGAAAAUCAAGGCUGAGGCGUGAUGACGAGGCACUACGGUGCUGAAGCAACAAAUGCCCUGCUUCCAGGAAAAGCCUCUAAGCAUCAGGUAACAUCAAAUCGUACCCCAAACCGACACAGGUGGUCAGGUAGAGAAUACCAAGGCGCUUGAGAGAACUCGGGUGAAGGAACUAGGCAAAAUGGUGCCGUAACUUCGGGAGAAGGCACGCUGAUAUGUAGGUGAAGUCCCUCGCGGAUGGAGCUGAAAUCAGUCGAAGAUACCAGCUGGCUGCAACUGUUUAUUAAAAACACAGCACUGUGCAAACACGAAAGUGGACGUAUACGGUGUGACGCCUGCCCGGUGCCGGAAGGUUAAUUGAUGGGGUCAGCGCAA
rnacentral:rRNA from 1 species